UGGGGAGACAUCAGCCCCUUUUCUCCAGCCAAACUUCCAGCAGGUUGUGGUCUCAGAGGUGAAGUGGGCAGAGGUGGAGAGCUUGCUGUUGUUUUUCAUGAGACAUCACCAAGGAAUCAGGGUGACAGAAUUAUUUUUGUGGAAAUGAGUAGGUGAAAUAUUUUUUCAUUUUGAUUAUUUGAAAAUGAAAACUCUUCAUGGCUUUUAAAAUUCAUGUCCCCUCCAGGUUGUUUUGUUUUGUUUCAUAUUCCCUCUCCCUUAUUCCUCAGAGAAACCAUCCAAACCUACAUAGUGUGUUAUUUUUUGAGGAAAUAAAAUCAUUUUCCAGUCAAACCUAGGCUGGAAAUGCUUCUGGUGAUUCAUUUGUCUGAGAAAUUCGGAAAAGCCUGGAUGGAACAGAAACCAGGCUGGUUCAGGGAGAGCUUUCUUAUGUUUGAAGACCCACCUGAGUGAGAGAGUUGUUUCAAAAGCUUUUUAUUUGAAAAAUAAAAUUUUGAUAGGCUUUGUUUGGGAGACUUGGGCUCCAGCCAUUCUUCUGUUGCGGAUCUUGUAUGGUACCAAGAUCUGGAGUCUGGCCCUUGUGGUCCUAGCUUCCCAUGAUUGCUUCAUUGCAGAUCUGUGCCACCUCUCUCUGAGUCCUGUAUCUUGAGUGCUUUGCUCUCUUAAGGACACCACUUCUGCAGGGUGUAAUAGAGGUGAUGCCAUGUUUGCUUUGACUGUAUUUUGUACUGAAAGUUUUCUUAAGAAUGAGGAUCAUAUGCAUGAAGAGCUGUGUCUUGAGUGCAGUGGGGACCUCUUGCUCUCGCAGAAUGAGGGGUCCAGGUCCUACAUUCUCUGUUAAACUCUGCUCAGGCUCCUCUCCACCAAGAACCUCUUUCUGAGGUUCAGAGCCAGGCACCAGAAAAGCAGAUUCCGUGGCAGCAACCACCAAAGUCCCCUGCAGACUGCCUUCCCUUGGCUUUCUGUUUCCCUACUUAUAAACCAAGGCUGUUUUAAUGGUGAGUUCUUUAAGACACAUCUUUCUGUUCCCUCAUGCAACAAAGGAAUGAAAGGAAAACCACCAGGCAAUGGCUGAAAUGAGAUGAGUUGCUCUGUCACAUCCCUUAGUAAUCCUGGGUUUCAGGGACUAUUUUUAUCAUCUCCAAGGGAUGACCCAGAGCUAGCUUGUUUGGAGGCAAGGUACGUCAAGGGUAGAGGACUGUGCUGGAGAGACUUUACAUGUGACAGGAGUGGUGGCAAGUGCCUAUGUGUCUAGAAAUAAGGCAAUAAGUGGGCUGGAUAGUGGAGACCACCAGUUCCUGUUGCUGGCUGCUCUGCGAGCUGCAAGCUCUGCUGUCUAACACUGUCCAGAUCCACAGUGUAACUGCUCAUCUCCAGUCCCUGUCUUGUCUGUCCCACAUACUGCUUCUUCUAUAAAUAGCCCGGUGGGAAGUGGAGUACAGAGCCACUGCAGAUGGCCCCCAGUUCCCCAUGCAGUCGUGUGUGAGAUCCCAGAUAUAGGCUGUCAAUUCUUUGCCUCGAGCCACCCGUGAAACCUCAUUAAAAAUGGUGUCCUCUUCCUUAACCCCCAUCACCCCCUCCCUUCCCACUUCAACUUGCCUACAUUCAAGCACCCUUAUUAAACAUGCACUUCUAAGCAAGGAGCACUGACUUUCCCUUAAUUGAGGCAUAAUAAUUAGAGCAUUAACACAUUAGGAGGGUGAGACAGCAUGUUUAGCUUUUGUGAUUAAUUAUCUGAGGAUUGUAAUAAGUUGUUAAGACAUUAAUUACUCUGGCAUGUUUAUUGCUCUUUAUUGCAGAACAGACACUUGGUAGCAGCAAGCGCUGGUUCAUCUUGAAAUACAGUGAGAAACAGGCUGGAUGGAGGAGACCACCUAUUCAUCCAGAAAACAGUGAGCUGCUGCUGUUGCUGUGGUCAGGGUGAAGGCAUCCUCCUGGUCGGACCUUGCUUAGCAAGUAAGUUUAUUUCUCUUCCAUCUCCAGGAGGCCACAGAUAGUUAUAAAUGGUAUCUGAGUCCCUUAGGACAAUCUAGGACCUAGAAGGUCCUUUCUGAUCUUUUCAUUUGUAUUUUUCUCCUCUUUCAAAUUAAGUGUUUCCUUUCCUGAUGGUUUGAGUUCCCCUCAUCUGGAUCUUUGUGUUUCCAAGGAUCUUAUCUGGUUCAGAGUGUCAGCAGUGGUGAAGGAAUGAACCACAACUCUGGUGCCUUGUUUCACACCUCCAGUGGAUGAAUUUUCUUCUGGGGAACUGGGAAGGGUGUUUCUCCAGCAGCAGGAGAGGUUUGGACUAACGUAGCCUGCUCUUUACACAACAAGCUGCUCUGUAGUCCCUAGACAACUCCGUGCUGGUUUUUCAGAUUGGGUCUAAUGACAAAGUUCAAGCCUGUAGGAUGAGUAGGUCUUGUAUGCUCCUGAAACUCAAAGAGAAAAGGCAGAUGAAUCAGCAGGAAGUUAUGGUGGGGCUGUUCUCAUCCGUCUGCUCUUCCCGAGAAAUAUGCAUGCUGCCACACUCUCCCUGCCUUAAAUUCCCUCUGCAGUUACGUGGACUGGGGAAUCACAAUGGCAGUCCCAGCAACAGUCAUGGAUAAAGAAAUUUGGGAAGAUGAUAAAGACAAGAAGGUGGAGAAGCUGUGGGUGUGAUGCAUUGAUACAGAUUUCCUUUGGGACCCCUGGACUUGAUGUUUCUGGUUUCUGGUCUGUUGCUGUGUCCUCAUGUUACUGCAACAUGCACUUGGGACAGCAACUGGUGGAUGCAGUGUUACUGCAGUGGCUUGGGGUAGCAACUGGUGGAUGCGAGGGGCAGGAAAGGAGGUCUUCCCCUGUUGCCUCUUGUUAGAAUUAAAACAUGAGAUGAUCCUGACCAGUCUUUGCCCCCCUAGGACUGACCCAUCAGUCUCUUUCCAUAUGGCUUCCACGAGCUCAAGUUAGUGUCAGUGUCAGUCAGUUGUCUCAGUGGCUGGGGAGGAAAAAUCUUCCCUGUGUACAAGGUGGGAUUUGUCUUGUCAGCUGAAUGCAAUCUGCAGACUUCAGCUCCUUGGAGCCCCUGCCUGCCGCUCACUAGCCCAGCCUGGAUUUGGCAUUCACUGUCAGGUACCUGCUUUCUGCAUUCAGAGUAUAGAAGGUGUCAGCCUGGCAUUCCCCACUCAGCUCCUAGGGACAAGGCAGGUCCUGACUUACGUGUUUUAUCAUUAAAAAGAUAAUUUCCUCUAGAUGUGUGCAAUAAGACAAUGGGUGCUGACCUGUGAUCCUGGCAUUGUGCAGUGUUAAUAAUUUCCCUCUGCAGAUAAUAAGCAGUGAAAGUAUAUAUUUGGGGGAGAUCUGAUUAUUCUUUUUCCCCCUUUUAAGACUGCUGUCUUCCUAGGCCAGACUUAAUUAGCAGACCUCAUUAUUUCCUCAAAUGUAACUUGACUUCCAUUGAAUGAGAAUUGUUCAGUGGAUGGGGAGCAGCAGAGCGGUGCUGCAAUAUUCAUAUUGUUUUAAUUGCAACAUUAACAUUUCAUGCCGCUCUUGGCAUACUUUCAGGUGCAGCCCUUUAGCUCAAUGCAACACUGUGAAAGGUUGGAUCAGAACAAUUAAGAUAGAGUGACUGGAUUUCUGGAUUUUCUCUUUUUUUUUUGUUCUUAAUGAAGGCAAGCCUGGAUUCAAUCCCCAUCACUCCUUUUGUUGGGUGGAACAGGGAGUCAAGCAGCCCUGAAGUGUAAAUCCUUGUUUUGGAAUAAAGGAUGUGCUGUAGUGCAUGUUUAAAUACUCUUUUUGUGGAGCUGAAGCCCUGCAAGGACAAGUGAUACGUGAUCCACCAGGCUGACAGCACAUCCUGGGACUUGGCCUUUGCCAGGUGAUCCAGAGAAGCCCCAAAAUGCAUCUGGCCAGAUAGGCCAGUGUCACAUAGGAGCUGGAGGGAAAAAGGCUGUUUUCCACUUCUCGAUUACUUCCAGGACUCUGGAAUGAGUGAGGCUGGAAAUGACACCAUGAACAGAUGACAACUGGGGCAGUACAGAUCCUAAAUGAGCACAGGGAUUGCCCCACUCUGUCCCCAAAUUGCAUGCAAGGUUGGGCUUCUUUGCAAUGGGGUCAGCCUCCGCAAGCUCCAGUCACCUUUGCUGCCUUGCCGUGUACCAUGUGCUUCUUGCUAAUUCUUCCUAUGCCAGAGAGUGGUGAUGAGUGAUGUGAGGUCCCAGCAACACCAGCUCCAGGUUCCACACUGAAACAGCCUAAUGAGGGUCUCCUAAUUGGGUUACUGAAAGGAGGUGAGCAAGGAAAGCCAGCUGGCAGGUCUACUAAAUAGCUUCUUGGUGGUGCUUUCCCAAGGCUGUAUCACACUGUGUAAUGUACAAACUGUUUAACUGACUUUAAAGGAGAACCAAGAGACUGUUGUGUCCCCUUCAUCCUUUAGAAGGAAGAGGAAAGGUUGCUAGGACUUCCUCUGUCCUGCCAGGGGAAGGCUGAGCUUUGCACCCAUGCUGCUGCCUGCCAGCUCUGUGCUGGCACUGGCUUGCAGAUUUGUACUUGGGGUUGGUGAGUGGGUCUGGUCUGCAGAAAGGACCUAUGUGUAGAGGAACAGGCACCCUCUUACACAAUAACAAAUGCCACUAAUCAGUCAACAUGCUAAUAGGUAGUUUGGUGUUUAAGUGAUACUGUUGUGAGCUCCCUGGGUGGCUGCUUUGACUUGGGGCUGCCUUCCCACGUGCUGGCACUUGCUGGAAGUGGAUGAAACUUCUUGGUGGAAGGUGAAAUCUCUCUCUGUGUGGCAGAGAGGCAAUGAGAGGGUUGCAGGGAUGGAGCCCAUCAGUGCUUCCCCUUUGACCUGGGCAUGUCUCUUCCAUUUCAGGGAGCAUCUGAACUAAUCCGUAAGUCUGGGAUGGCAAUUCAAGCUGGAAAUGCAGCAGGACCUCAGCUUGGACACUGGAAGACCAGUAAGGAAAAAGGACACAUCCUGGUUCCAGAGGCUUUGAAAAGCCUUUGAAAAAGCUAACAUGCCGUCUUAGCUGGCUGUCUCUCCUGUCAGCUGAGCAGGCUUGAAACCUUCACCCGUUAGUACUGUGUGCAGUGGGAUCCAUGAAGUCUCAUCUCUUGUGGAUAUGGCACUUGAGUUUGGAUUCUCUGGUGUCUAGUAAGCUGCUUGUGUUGAAUGGAGCAUCUCCCCUUACUGGAUAUUUAUAGCAUCUCUCCUUCUCCCACACAGAUUGUCUGAUGUCUAAUAAGGGAUGAUACACUACAGUUUGGAAGGUGCUAAUAAUGUCUCUUCUCUCUUUAACAGUCUGUUCCCAUGAAAUUUAUAGACUCUGACUGUCUCUGAGACCUCUGUGUCUGUCAGAUCAGGUUGAAAUCUGUUUGCUGUGUCAGAAGUUGCGGGGAGUGGGCAGAGGACAGACUGAUGCAGCAGGAGUGCGUAUGCUUUGCACUUCCUGGGAAAUGAGGCGAAAACGUGCCCAGCUCUGUUUCCUGCAGAUCUGGGGGGGCAGUUGUGGCUCAGAUCACCAAAUUGUGAGUUUAGGAAAGCAGGCUGGUUAGGUGGGAGGAAGGAGCUGAGCUCAGAGACUACCCAGGAGAAGAGCUGCUCUGCCCCCAGCCGUCUUGCAUGGACUGCCAUGCUGAGGGCUCUUCAGGCACGCUUGAGCUGCCUGAGGCGAUGAGUGCAAGUACAGAGCUUGGCCUCUUGUGGAAGACAGCCCCAGAGGACAAUAAACGAGCAAGCCCAGGGCUCCUGGCUGGUGUGAAAAAUUGCCCGGCUAAAGGAUAAUGAAUGCCACAGCAGGAAAUAGAGCAUUUCUCUGAGGCCAUUCAUCCCCUUUAUCACUCUGCUAACAAGCCCCAGAGUGACUUCAGAGAGACUUCUCUGGAGCAGCACCAUCCCUCAGCCCUGCUUACGGCUGGGUGCUGGGGGUGAGGAAUACAUUGCGUGGCAGGAGUGCUCAGUGGAAAACUGCCGACCAACCCCAAAUAACAGCUCCAAGUCUGGGUGUCUGCAGUAGGGACUGUGCAGUGGCUCUGGCUUUGGCAUGAAGACCAUGCCCUUCUUCAGGCCAUGUGUUGGUGCCACCUGAGAGAUCCGUAUGAAAAAGCCAAGCAUCAAUCUCUUUUAAAGAACUCUGGGGCAGCAAGGGCCCUGCAGCACCUUAGGAGGAUUGCUCUAUCCUAACUCCCACCUUAUCUAAGAUUUAAAAUUCAUAAGAUUUAUACAGGACCCAAGAGGAGUUUGGGACUGCUGGCACAGAGGUAAGUUGGUUCUGCUUCACUUGCUGCACAGCUGAGUCUGUGUAUGAGUGUUGCGCAAGGAGGAAAGGGCAGGAGUGAUGUGCUUUUCGUAAGAGCUAAUAAAAUCUAAUUCAUCCCUUUGCUCCAAGACAGUGGGAAGCAUUAGUGGCUGGCUGAGUGCCUCCUCCGCUGAGACAGUGUGCUGGGUGCCUCCACUUUCCCUCUGGCUGGGAGCAAAGCAUGUACUCCUGUGGAGGGAAAGGUGUCUGUCAGCAGGGGCUGUUUCCUCUGCAACCACAUCAACAGGCAGCCCAUAGUGCUGUCUGUAGCUGAUAUCCCUCCUGGGAAAAAAAACAGCCAGAUAACCCAAACAUGGGUCUGGGCAUGAGGAUGGACAUCCCUCGGGCAAUUUCAUGUGCUGGGCUUCAGCUCUCAGCAAGUGCCUUUGUCUCUGCUUGGACCACAGCUCAUGGGAGCAGAGAAAAGUACCAUCCACAAUUUGACUGGGCUACAGGAACCCCCCAAAAGGGCUGCGGCCAUUGGUGACCAAAUGGGUUAGAAUACUUUCAGCAAGCACCCUGAAUGCUCACCCCUGUGUACUGUGUGUGCAGAUCUCUAAGCGUUUUAAAAGAAAACUAACACCGCAGAUUGGAAAACUCACAUCUUGAGGCUUCAGAGACUAGUUCAAAGCUAGGCAGAGGAGCCAAGGCCACUGCCUCACCAUUAAAUGGCGAGUUGAAGUGAAACACAAUACAUCACCUUCCUCAUGGGCUGCCAUUCAGCCAACAGGAGCCAAGAUUAGCCUUCAAUCACACAGGGGCUGGAGCUGUAGGAAACCUUCCUAAGGACACACUAGCGAAACAUUUUCAUUAGCGGAGGAGAACCUGAUGGAGAUGAAGUGCCCCUUCACCUCAACUGCCAGACCUCUCCCCUGCCUGGCAUUAACAGGAUUAGGAGAUGCUGAGGAGCUGGUGCCAGCUGCAACACUUUAAGUGCUGUCUCAUCCAGAUGUGAGAAACAGCUGUGACACACUGAAGCAGCGCUUUUAUAGCAUGGUGGGGGUGGCUUUGGUUUUUCUCCUGCCUAUGGACCUGCACUCACUGCUAGAAGUGAACUGGUUCUCUCCCUGCUGAAUGGAGGAAGGGGGUGCUAGGUUGCAAGCCAUGUACCUGAAUGGGUAUCCUAGCAUGGGCCAGAGAAAGGUGUCCCUGAUGAUAAGGUCCGUAGGUCCAGAAGGUAUCAUGGGCUCUGCCUCCUGCAACAAGUUUUGCAAAUGUAACAGGACUGCCUUAGCAGUAGUGGAGUUUUUCUCUGCUCCAUGGAAAGCUGUUCCACAGCCCACUUUUGCAAGCAUCUGCUCUUAGCCUGCAUCCCCUCAGGACAGUUAAGAUAUCCAGGAUUCACUUCUGCUAUUGAUGUCUCUUGUAUUGGAGAAACACACCCUGCACCCCAGCUGGGAGCCUGGGACAGACCUGUCUCUCCUGGUUACCAGGAUUAGCCAGCAGGGUCCCUGCAGUUGGUAUCUGCCAUCCUCCACCUCACCUCCGUGGGGCUGGUGUGCUCCCGACAGAAGCAGGAUCUGUCUCUUUCACUCACAGCUGAAGGAUGCUUUGCCUGGUCCUGUCUUGCAGGUUGGAAGGAAAUAAUUCUAAUUUAUGUGGCAUAUUCCUUUGGGGGGAUGAGGGGAAGAAAAGAGAAAAAAACCCCAGACACAACAGAAACCCUGGCUAUUCUGGGUAUUUUUAGCUCUUUGCAAAGAACCGUUAACAUUAACCUCUCUCGUCCUCUCUUCUCUCUCCUCCUGCUGUGCCCCCCAUUUCUGUCUUUGGGGCUGCCUGCAAUACUGCAUUAGCAUCAUAUCUCUGUGAAGAUAAGCCAGUGCUCAGCACUCCCCAAGACUAUGACUCACAGGGGACUUCAUCCUCUCUCCUUGCUCUCUGGGUACCCUCCACAUGCACAGCCCUUAGAAGAGGCUGGGAGGGUGACAGGCUCAGGGAUGUUCAUGUCUUCUGGGAUGGGUUUUAUCAGGAAUGUGAUUUGAGCAUCCUGAGAAUGAUGAUACAGCCUAGCAGCUACAGCAUUGGUUUGGGACACAAAAUCAGGUGGCUUCUGGUUUGGGAGCAUUCUCCUGUUAAGGUACUUCUUGCUUCCCCCCUCCUCCCUUUCAGAAGUGAGAGCAGCCAAAAUUAGAGGAAAACCUGGCUCCAAGCAGGUUCUGACACCCCCCUCCCCCCAGUCCCUUCACCUGGCUUUUUUUAAUUUUUCCCUUACAACCUCAGCUGGCUGAGUUUCAGUGCCAGCCCAUUGAAAGGAAAGGCACGUGCUGGCUUACUGGGGGAGAGAGACCGGAGACAGGAUAAAUCUGGAGGCAAUGAGGUUGGGGGGAGGCAACUCGCCUGUUCUGACACUUUUAUUAUGGAGCCUGGCUGCUUGGGAAUGAAUCUUUUUUGAAGCAUAUGUUGCUGGAUGACAUUUUUACCAGGUCUCAGCAGUAGCCUUCGCCACACCUCACUGCCCAGCCCUGUCCUUGCCUGUUCCUGGGACAAGGGGAGGGAAUGUCAGCUGGAAAUGCCACAGGCAGCAGGGCUCAAAGGUGCUUAAUGCACCUCCGAUGAGUCUGAAAGCACCCAGACUUUGGCACUAGAAACUCUUCAGGCUUUGGUGACUCCAGCUUAUGGAUGCAUGUGUUGUUCUGCAAAGGAGGUUUUAGUUUCUUUAUUUCAGAAAUGGAAGAGGAUACAACAGAGACCAAAAUGAAAUCCUCCACAGAGUUGCCCAGAAGGAGGAAUAACUUCAAGGAAAGAUUAUUCCAUGGCUCUAGAAAAGGAAGAUCUACUUGCUCAGUAACCUGGUGAUGAGCUACUGGUUCU